CAGGCAGAAAUGGCUCCCUGGAAAUCAGGCACUGGUGCUGGGCUGAGACUGCUGAGCUAGGAAUUGCCUUCUGUUGCUCCCAGCUGCCAGUGAUGUGUAAAUAAAAGCAAAUUAUACUUGGGCUCUCCGUCACGUCCCAUGCUGCAAAAUCAAACCACAGGACAUAGAAGUCUCAAGUACUAAAUGAUCAAUACCAGUGCCAGAAGGAGAACUGACAUGCAAGAAAGGGGAGAACAAAGGUGUUAUUGCCAGGUGCAGCCUACAGAUAUCUGAACUCCACAGCUGGCAACCAGCAGACAACCCCAGGAGCUCCCACAGCCUCAGCCAAUGUGUCUGAAGACCACUCUCACUCAGCCCACAAGCUUCAUGGGCUCAUCCUAGCACAGUCAAUGCUUCCUGGGUAUUAGGCUUCAAUUUAAGGUAAUCUAACAGGGAGUAGGUGGCAGCACGGUUUUUAUCAGGAGGUGAAAGGUCUGAGAUUGAGGAUCGCAUCCCACAGUGUCUCAUACAGCAGGGAGCUGGUGGGCUGGAACAGGCAGAUUCAGGAAAACAUACACAAUACCCAUCCUUUACGCGGUUUAUUAAAUUUGGUUUGACAGCUUUCCAUAUACCUCAAAAUGCCAACACUGUAAUUACUCCAGUAAAGAGCACAACAGAUCAUUUGGCUUUUGUUUUCACUUCAGGAUAUUCCACCAAAGGAGCUGAGUUUGGCUGGAAGAAGAAUCCCAUGUCCUGUGGCUUCGCGGGUCAGAUCACUGAUUGGAAGAGGCAGGAAGGUGCAGCAGAACUUGGGAGAUGAUCACAUGGUAUCUGCAAACAUUCAGAGGUGCCAUGGAGGCUCAUUUGACAGCAAGACAAAGGCUGAGGUAAUGAGAGGGCCUGCUGAUGCUAGAGAUAAGCUGCAGAGAGACCAUGCUCACCUUGCCUAUCAGAGCAGGCCCUCAGGAAGCAGGUGAAGAAGGUUAUAAAUGAGGGAGGAGGGCAUUAGGAAGCCAUGAUCUCUGAUCCAGAGGAGUGUUAUCUGAGGUCCUGUUCCAGAGUUGUUUUCCCCAGGGGUAAGUGCUGGUAGCUUUCUACAAGUGUAGCUGGUGGCAAUGAGCAGUGGUGCUUUGCGGGCCUGGGGAGGUUGGGGGAAAGCUGGAGGUGGAGGGUGCUUUCCAUGUGUGUGAGCUCAGGUGCUUUUAAGGGUGGCUACCAUGGGCCAUGUGAAGUUCCUGUUUCUGCAUCUCGCAGUCUUAUGGCUGAGCUUGGGGUGAGAUCUGUGGUGCCACAGCCAUUAGGAGUCCAGGGAAUGGUACUGUGUAUUUGCAUUCUAGAACUAGCACUGUUUGGGUGUGGGUUCACUCUGCUGACUGAAACUUACUAACUUGAGCUAAGGUCAGAAAUGUACCUUGCUGGAAUGUUUUCUUAAACUGUGAAUAUCCUGGUGGCUUUGUAAAGUGUAUGAUGAAAGAAGAGUUGUCCUUUGAAAGUGUGAUAAACUCAGAAGGUACCUUCUAUGAUUUAUGUUGGCACUAUCUGGUUGGAAAUCAUUUAUUGUGGCAGAUCAGAGGAUUCUGUUUGUGUAGCGUUAGUAUGUAAAUGUCAUGAUAGGAUCUUUGAAAUAUACAUUGCGUCAAGCAAACAGGGAAAAUAUGCAAGGAGUGCAAUUUGUCAUCUGGCUUCAAAUUAUUCCUUAUGUUUCAAGUCCAGUCAUGGCGCUUGUGUGUGCUAAAUGUCCCUUAAAACACUACAUAGUGCUUCUUGUGAAGUUCCCUUGGAACUGUGAGUGCUUUGCCAAACACAAGCCCCAAGGUUAAGCUCUGUGUAAUGCUUCUUUGGCCUGUGCUUCCAGACUUAAGAGGAUGGUUCAGGAGAAGCCAGUUGUGAGCAUAUGGUAUUGUUUCUGCAGCCCUCUGUUCCAACAUGCUCAACAUGGCUUUGGUUUUCAGCAGUUGAUACUGUAACAUCUUUGUUUACCUUUUUGAUGCUGUCUCUUUUUCUCACUUAAAGCUACCCUGACAGGUUUUCUUCAUUUAUUUUAAUAAGGGAAAAAUAUUGACAAAUACUUCUUAUGAAGUUGCAGAUGCAGUCUGUUGUCCCUGUGGCAGGAGUGAAAAUGCCAGCUUAAUGGGAUUCACCUUAGUAGGAGUUGCUUUUCCAGCUAAGAUAUGUUUCAAGGCUGAUAGAGGCUGUAGCAUUUGAAUUUCUGCUAGCUUCCAAAGCAAUCUAGUGUAAGGUCACAUUUCAGUUGUUACCAUCUUGAACUGGCAGAAGAGCACAGUAUUUCAAAUGGAUGCUGAUGUCAAGGCUGAGGACCUUGUACACUUCUCCUGCUGGUGGGAAAAUCUCAAAGGGGUUCAUCACUGUCUUUGCUAUCCAAAUAAAGUGCUGAGCUCAAAUCAGGCUGCAGGCAGCCCAAGGGUUAUGUGCCCAGCUAACAGUGAGGGACUUACAAGAGAAUUAACUUUGUGGUGCCAGAAAUAAAACAGCAGGAAGAGCAUUGGGCAACUAUAGUAGGAAAAUAUUUGCAUUACUUCCUGAAGAAAUCUGAGAGGUCUUCAGUAGUUCUCCAAGGAAAUUAAAAUAAAAUUUAUUCAAUGGUUUUGUAAAGUGAAAAUCAAUCUGAAAACCUUCAGAAGAUGUCAUGUAACAUCAUGGUAAAAUCAGAAUAAUGCUUAAGCCUGUAAGCACUCAAUAUUGAUCGUUUCAUGAGGAAACAGAAGUGAAUUUGCAGUGACUGUUAAGGCUGGGGAAUCCUUUGGAAAAAUCACUGUGUGGCUCCAAAACUGGGGUUAAAAGGAUUGUAGCAAACACUUCAGCGUUAAAGGAGGGGGUGGGGGGGAUAUAAUGAUAGCUACAAAAGGUUUUCUCAUUGCAUUACAAAUGUUUCUCUUUUUUUUAAAAAAGGGAAAAGCUUGUUACUUAAAAAUAGGAUGGUUGUUAACAGACAGCAAAGCUGUGUGUUUAUGGGCAGCUUUGUUCGGUCAGAUGUUGAGAUGUGAUUUUAUUUUUUUCCUCCAAAUUGCAUUGGUAUUUAAUCAAGCAAAUAGCUGUGGAAGAUAAAGAACAGGCUUGCAAGCCCAUCAUUUGUUCAGCAAAAGGAAACCUAUGGCUUUUUCAUGGAAUGAUUCUCAUGUCUGUGACAUUCUUAUUUAUCAUUAUUUUUUAUGUCUAUUUUGGCUUUGAAAGCUUAAAGAGAAAACUAGACCCUGCUUCAAAUUUCAGUCAUGUGGUAGCUAAUUACAGUACGCGUAAACUUAAUAAAGAAGUGUCAUUAGCUAUAAAAUAUAUUUACUCUAGAGUUUCCCGGGUAUGAGAUGGAGAGGCCAAGCUGCUGAGGGCUGUUGCCAACUGGAUCACUCAGGCUGUGAUUUUGUUAAUUACUGUGUUUUCUAUUUACAUACCUACAAAGCAGAGAUGAUAAAAUUCGUCUGUCCCCUAAUUGCCUUGAGCUUUUAGCAAAUAUUUAUUGGCUACCUGUUGACUUUCAGGAGAUGAAUAAUUACAUUUCCACAUCUUGUUUAACGUUUACAGAAUUAUAUCCCUUUUGGCUUCAAACAGCUUCCUUCUUCAAUCUUGAAGACAUCUUAUUAGAACAGUUAAAAUUUAGGACUCGUAUAUUUAUGCUGAUGAUAGCAUAUAAAUCUCAUGUUAAGCUUUGUUCCAUCUUCCUCAUUUAAGCUUCUCCUUGUGCUUUGUUACUUAUCACCUGUUGGCAAUUUAACUGUAUAUACUGUAGAGUGUUAAAUUGCUCCCACCUGGAUAAAUGGGAGCUUGGCCAUUGGUUCCUCCAGUCCUGGGCUCAGAACCUUGAUAGAUGCAUGCAGUGUCUACACUUCCUGGCUCAAGAAAUAGGACUUUAAACACUUCGAAUCUCAUCCUCUGGUUCUCUGCAGCUGCUACUCUGCCUGCUACUGCUUCAUCAGCUGGCAAUUGAAACUGUUUGGUACAUUACAAUGAUCUUCACAUAAACUUGCUGGAAACAAAACCAGUCGCUGCAACAGGACUGACCAAAUGACUCCCAGUCACUUGUACUAAAUUACACCUGAAUACAAAUGGAAAUACAUUAUAUCCAUAAAAGCACCCUAUGAAUUCAUAAUGAGCUGGCGCUGUCACCAUUAUAACUGUGAUGCCAGAAAAGAGCUCACAGAUAUGACCAGAACUCUUGUUUAUUUCAGGGACUACGGACACAAUAAAUACUACUGUAUUUUUAGCUGCAAACUAAAAUGAAGCACUUCCUAUUAAAUUAAGCUCUAAGUGCUUAUUCCCAUGUUUUUUAACUUCACUGAAUAAGCAGAUAGGAUGAAAAAAUGCAACCUAUAGCAUCAUAUCCUGCCUGUCCUGUUGCAAACAACCAACCCCAUCUGUACAAAAUGUGGUCGUGUUUGUCUCUUCCAGCUUGAAUCUACUGGAUUACUUUAAAGCAGCUUAGAACAGCUUGUUCUGACCCUUCAAAUGCCAGCUACCAUAGUUCUAAUACCUUGGCUCUGUUUCCAGUCCGGUUCGUAUUUGAAUAGUAUGAAGAGCAGCCCAAAGAGAAAUUGCAAAUAAAUGCCUGUCCGCUGAGCAGUGACCUUGCUAAAUUACAGCAGGUAUCCUGAGCAUCUGUGCCAUGGCCUUCUCUUACUGCAGCAUGAUAGGAACAUGCAUUAGCUCAGGAGGACUGAUGUCAACCAAACUGGCAAAGAAAGGACACUUCAAUGAGAAAAUUAAUAAUUCUUUACUCUGAUUAUGAUGAUUAAUUCUGUUACAUCAGCAGCUUUUGGCAGAACCAGUGACAGCAACAGAUUUCAUAUGGGGAAAAAACCUAAUUCAGGAGCCAAGGACAUUAAAGUGGAAUUUUGUGCAGUUAAGCAAUGAUAUUAACAAAUUACGCACAAGCAGCUAUAAAUUAAAUAUGUUCAGAAAGGCACGUUUGUUUCUCAAUCCUAUGUAAGACAUUGCAGUGAUGUAAUAUUAUUUUGCGUUUGAUACAUUAGUCAAGAUAAAAAGAGAUUGUUUCUGGAAUUGACCACUGGCAGAUGGACUCAGCCAUGGAAGUUUUUGGACCACACAAAGCUGUACAUAAACUCUAUUGUAGGUGCCAAUUUCGCAACCUGGUAACCACUGCUGGACUAGCAAGCAUCCUAAUUCCAUCUCUUCAGCUUUGGUUAUGCAACCAAGACUAACCCAGCCCCCGUCAGGUAUGGAAUAUAAGACAGGCAGGUCUUUGCUGGCAUAUAAAGCUAGCUGGCCUUUUUCUGAGGAGGACUUGGCUUUCAGGCCCUGUAUUCGCUGGUUUCCUCUCAGCUUCUGAAGGCAAGCACUUUAAAUGCACUGAUUGGUUGCUCCCUCUCUAAUGCAGUUUGUUUUCUUUCAGUUGUCAUAACCAAGUUGCCUUGUUUGUCAGUUUGUUUUGUUUCGAAUGCACUCCAACUCAUGCCUUUUAUGCAUUUGGCAUGAGGGUCAGAUUCCUCAGUACCGCUUUGUUAGGAAACACUCAUUUGGCAAUCGUAACACUAAAAAUUAUCCCCAAUAGGAUAUGCUUUAUCAACCCAUGACCCUUAGCUGUUUGAGUGAGAAACAACAGAUAAAGUACAGAAGUAGAUCAUUUUGUCAAUGCUUCAGAUGUUUGACAGAUUACAAGGACUAGUUCCUUUCCACUCAAACAUGGUAUUUAGAAAACUGGAGUAAUGCUUUAGAUGGCUGCCUUUUUAUCUUCUUCAUCUGUCUGCUGUUAAAGUCACUGUCUUCUCAGUGUUCCCCUGCAGGAGGAAACUAAAAGCUAGUCCACUGAAUUACAAAUUAGAAUCACUUCAAACACUGGUGCAAGCAUCACCACCUCAGCUCAGGCAUACUGAUCAUUGGUCUUGUACCAAUACAUUUGCACAGAACCAAGGGCAGUUGUGUUUUCACCUUAUUAGUUCAUACACAGUGUUUGUUUCCCAUUUCUUUUAUACUAUGUGCACAAAAGAGAGCUGAAUGCUACGCAGAGAAUAAACCAGUCUCCUUUUGAUCUACUGAGAAACUGUGCAGACUUCAGCAGCACCAAUACUUGUGCUGCAAUAAAAGUUAUGAUUAUCUGGGGAGGGAGUGCUGGUAAUGAUUUCAAAUAACCCCAUUGAUUUCUGUCAUGUACUAAAAACUACCACAAAGAUAAUGUUCAAGUAGAUAGAGAACUACAUUGAUUUGCUUUACCUACAUAAACUAAUAAGUUAUUUUAAUUUCAGUUUACUCUUUGCGUACAACCUGCUUUCCAACUGUUUAGAUACAUCAAUAUUUAGAGACAACUCAUUUGAGAAUGCAGUUGACUUUUAUUGUGGUAACCCCCCAGAAAUGCAGUCUGCUGCCCAACAAUACACUAAUUUUAUGAAGUCAGUUAACAAAUACUGUAAAAAUAACUUAAUUUCUGAUGCAUAAA